rnacentral:sRNA from 1 species
AACGACAAGCAGAAGCACCCGCUUCUCACCUGUUUGACGUCCCUGGAGGAUAGUUGACUGGUUCAUCACGAUUCAUGUUUACGAAUGAGGAGAUGUGUGGGUGCAAGUAUGUACCGACACUUUUUUUAUGUA